rnacentral:rRNA from 1 species
UGGGGAAUAUUGGGCAAUGGGCGAAAGCCUGACCCAGCAACGCCGCGUGAAGGAUGAAGUAUUUCGGUAUGUAAACUUCGAAAGAAUAGGAAGAAUAAAUGACGGUACUAUUUAUAAGGUCCGGCUAACUACGUGCCAGCAGCCGCGGUAAUACGUAGGGACCAAGCGUUGUUCGGAUUUACUGGGCGUAAAGGGCGCGUAGGCGGCAAUUCAAGUCAUCUGUGAAAUCUCCGGGCUUAACUCGGAACGGUCAGAUGAUACUGCUUUGCUAGAGUGCAGAAGGGGCAAUCGGAAUUCUUGGUGUAGCGGUGAAAUGCGUAGAUAUCAAGAGGAACACCUGAGGUGAAGACGGGUUGCUGGGCUGACACUGACGCUGAGGCGCGAAAGCCAGGGGAGCAAACGGGAUUAGAUACCCACGUAGUCCCUGAGCGGGCUGGCAAGGCGCAU